AUGGGACCGCAACCUUCGGCUUCAAGCAACCCGCCUUCAAUCCCAACUCAAAAAAGUAUCAUUUUUCAUAUCCCUGCUUCUGCUCGUGCUCAACUUAGUGAAGGUGAUAUUCAGCCCGAUCCUGGUCUUAGGAAACCCAUUGAAAGCUUAGAUUCGGACCUUAGAGAUGUUGCUUGAAGGAUGUAUAUAAAUAUGGGUCCAUGCCAACCGACUGAUCAAAAAUAUAGAAAAACAAAAAGAGGAAAUUCUUCUAAAGAAAGAAGCUUCCAAGCUAGUUGGUUCAAGAACCAUCUCGAUUGGUUGGAAUAUAGUGAUAAUAAAGAUGCAUCCUUUUGUUUUUAUUGCUUUCUUUUUAAGCAACCUAGAGCAGAAAAUUUUGGUAUUGAGGCAUUCACAAAGGUUGGAUUUAGAAAUUGGAAGGAUGCAAUUAGUGCUUUCAAUACACAUGUUGGUAAACAUGAUAUUGCUCACAAUAAAGCUAGACAACAUUAUGAGGCUUUCAAAAAUCAAAGGCAAUGUGUUACACAUGUGAUGGAUCGUGGUACCAAAAAGAGUGAAGAGAAAUAUAAAGCUUGUCUUAUCAUUAUUUUGGGUGUUAUCCGAUUUCUUCUAUUACAAGCCCUACCUUUCUGUGGUCAUGAUGAGAGUCCGAGCUCUAAGAAUAGGGGCAACUUUUUGGAGUUGAUGAGUUGGUACAGGAACAAGGAUCCAAAUGCCAAGACUUUGCUUGAUGGUGCAGGCGGGAACCAUUUGAUGACUUCACAUGAGAUACAGUUCCAACUGUGCCAGGCUUGUGCUGAAGAGACCACCAAAGCCAUUAUUGCUGAUAUUGGAGACAAAAGGUUUUCUUUACUUGUUGAUGAGUCGAGAGAUGCAUCUAUAAAGGAGCAAAUGGCUAUGGUUUUAAGGUAUGUCAACGAUCAUGGGUAUAUAAUUGAGAGAUUUAUUGGGAUUAAGCAUGUUGGUGACACAAGAGCAGCUUCUCUAAAGACAGCCGUGGAUGGUAUGUUUUGUAAACAUGGCUUAUCUAUGUCUAAAUUGAGAGGGCAAGGGUAUGAUGGAGCUUCUAACAUGAGAGGGCAAUUUUGUGGGUUGCAACGGUUGAUACUAGAUGAAAAUCCUUAUGCAUUCUAUAUUCAUUGCUUUGCCCAUCAAUUACAAUUAGUGGUUGUUGCUAUUGCUAAGUGUUGUUCCUCUGUAUUGGAUUUUUUUAACCACACAACUUUGAUUGUCAACACUGUCAAUGCUUCUUGUAAGAGACAUGAUGAACUAGCCCAACACCAUCAUGACACUAUUGUGAGCCAGUUGGAGUCUGGAGAAAUUUUUCCAGGAAGAGGGAAAAACCAAGCAACCAACCUUGUAAGACCCGGAGAUACAUGGUGGGGCACACAUCAUAAAACUUUGUGUCGAUUUAUUAUGAUGUGGACAUCUGUUUUGCAAGUAUUAGAGAACAUUCAUGAUGAUGCAAAAAAUUUAACACAAAGAACCACGGCAAGUGGCUUGAUUUCUCAGAUGGAAAGUUUUGAGUUUGUUUUCAUAUUGCAUCUUAUGAUUAAACUAUUGGGUAAGACUAAUGAAUUGUCACAAUGCUUGCAAAAGAAAGAUCAGAACAUUGUUCUCGCAGUGAGUUUGAUUGGGGUCACCUUGAAGAAACUUCAAGAUAUAAGAGAAAAUGGUUGGGAUGAGCUCUUGAAAGAGACAAAUGACUUUUGUGUUAAACACAACAUUGCAUUGCCUAACAUGGAGGAUACAAUACUAGCUCAAGGUCGUUCAAGGGGGCGUGGUGGUCAAAUGGUAACUUACUAUCACGGCUUCAGAUAUGAAAUAUUCAAUGUUGUGCAUGACCAAAUUAUUGUUGAGUUAAAUAGUCGUUUUGCUGAAAGAUCCACUCAAUUGUUGAGAUGCAUUGCUUGUCUUGAUCCAAGGAACUCAUUUGAUAAUUUUGAUGAGGAUAAACUUGUUGAACUUGCUGAGUUGUAUGCUGAUGACUUUUCCAUAUAUGAGAUCUCCUUUGUCCUUCGAAACCAACUUGAAACAUUCAUUUCUGUUGUGAGAGCUGAUCCGGAUUUUGAAUGUUGUAAUGACCUUGGUAAUCUUGUUGUGAAGAUGGUUCAAACCGGUAGACACACUAUUUUUCCUUUGGUAUAUCGACUCAUAGAGUUGGCAUUGAUCUUGCCGGUUGCAACCGCAUCGGUGGAAAGAGCUUUCUCGGCUAUGAGUAUUAUCAAGACCGAGUUGAGGAAUAAGUUGGGUGAUGAUUGGCUCAAUUAUAACAUGAUGUGCUAUAUUGAGCGAGAUGUAUUUGCAUGUAUUCCCGAUGAUGAUAUUUUAUAUCGCUUUGAAGCCUACAGGAAUCGCAGAGGGCUAUUACCUCCCCUUAGAGGUAAGGUUUUAGAUUUUAAUUAA
rnacentral:rRNA from 1 species